ensembl:lncRNA
UGUGGGUGGGGUCCUCAAACUUCCUAGACACUUAGCAGUUUUCAUCACACACCCCCACUGAGAUGACUGUGAUGUAGAAACAAAGAAACGGGAACACAAGUGUUGGUGACAACGAGCGUGUAAAGUGGUGCAACUGCCGUGGUGCAACCACAGGAUGGUGGUUCCUCAAAAAGUGAAAAAUAGAAUUUCCAUAUGACUCACUUCUAGGUAUAGACACCAAGGAAUUGAAAGCAGGGCCUCAAACAGGUAUUUUGAGAUAUAUCAGUACAUCUGUGUUCAUAGCAGCAUUACUCACAACUGCUAACGGGUGGACACCACUCCAGGGCCCGUGGGUGGAUGGAUGCACGGACAAAACGUGGUCCAUCUACACAAGUUUUAAAGAAGGAAAUACUGGUUUCAAAACACGUUUUCACAACAAAGCACUGGAGAAAACUUCCCUCGGACCCCAGGGUCCUUUCUGGAAAGAAGGCCCUCUCACGUCAGCCCUGCUCGGUGUCUGCAGCUGGCCUCUCCUGACCUAGGACCCCAUGGACCCCAGGAGAGGAAGCUGACUUGGGAGCCGCCCACCUUGCUGGCCGCCGCGGGCACCCACCUCCUUCUCAGACCUGAGUCUCGGUUUCCAGGAGGCCGAGGAUUCCGUGCCCAGCCGCGGGUUCGGUGGGCUGCUUGCUGAGAACCUGGGGAUCAGCUUGAGGGAGCGGCCACGUCCACUCUAAGAAAGGCAGCCCCCACCCUCAUUCGCCAUCGUAUCAGCUCCCUGGAGCUGCCGUAAGCACAGACAUGGGGCCUUCAGGCAACAGAGAUCCAGCCCCUCACGUUCCAAGGUCAGGGUUGGAAACCCAGGUGUCUGCAGGGUUGUCCCCUCCUGGAGACUCAGGGAGGCCCUGCUCCAGCCUGGCCUCCAGUUCCAGGGGCCCUGCACGUCCUCCACUCGCAGCCACGUCAUGCCAUCACUACACAGCCUCCUCCUCCCGCCGUGUUUCCUGUAGGGACACCUGUCCCUGGACUUAGGACUGACCCUGGUAACCAGGACCAUCUCAUCUCAGGAUCCUCAAUGUAAUCAACCUUUGCAAAGACCUCGCUUCCAGGAAAGGGGUCCAGGUGGAAGCAUCUUUGGGGCGGGCAUGAUUCAACCCUCUAUAGGAUCUGGACCAGUAUACUCCUUCCCAGAAAAGCAGCCGUGUCCAGACCGCAUCCACAUGUGCUCUGCAGACCAGCACCUUGGGGAUGCAGGGUCCUGGACAGCACCCCCAGCAGGAUUGCAGAGAAGGGGUGGGGUGUUGUUUAUGAUGCCAACGCCUUUAGUCCAGGUCCCAGGAAGGAGCUCCUCAGGG